UCUGGCUUCCGUAGGGUUGUACUUUGGAAAGAUCCUCAGUCUCUUGGUGCAUAUCAUCCUGAUUUUUAACCAUAGAUCAUAGCUUCACACAGCCGCAUACAUUCAAAACUUCUAUCCGUUUCCAAUCCACUUUCUCUUCUUAAAAACUGUGGCUUAAUUCAGUUUAGCAGCUGCCUUCUUACAGCACAUGCCUCCCAGAUACACAGAUUACAUCGAUAACUGGCCAUCUGUGCUCAACAGUCACCCGUACCAGCUCCAUAUCUUUUUCUGGCUUCUCUUUCUGAGCUCUCAGUGGGGUACUUGACCCUCAGGUACUGGGCUGCAGUCGGAGAUGCAAAGAGGGAGAUUCUGCAAAUACCUAAAACUUGCUUUCCAGAUCCCUACCUCAUCAUGCCUAAGAGGAAGUGGAUUUUCCAGGCCCUGCCUUGGCAUCUAUCCUCCUCCAUGUUAAACAACAUUAACUCUGAAGAUCUGCCAAGAUUUGAUGAUCAAAUGUAUUCAUGAAUCGCACUGCAAUGGAUUUGAACCACAGUAAAUUUGUUUCUGGAAUAAACAGAGAAAAGACCAGAGGUUUGAUUUGUAUGUUAUUAGUUUGCUUUCUGUGAGAAAUAGGCAUAACAGCACCCUUGUAUGUGCAGGAGGUGGACUGGAUAAACAAGUGAUUAUGGGGACUGAGAGCCUGGGAUUGGAGGCACAGCCUGGCUCUGGAGCUCAUCUGGGUUUCCAACUCUUGGUCCAUGUUUUUAGGAUAAGCUAUGAACAGAGACUGAUAAUUACUGAGCAGUGGGGAGUUCCUCUUC
ensembl:lncRNA